GGGAAUGUGGCUCAGUAGUAGAGCACUUGCCUUGCAUGCAUGAGGCCCGGGUUCGAUUCCUCAGCACCA
rfam:Dipodomys ordii ctg_broad_rename0001705, whole genome shotgun sequence.